rnacentral:rRNA from 1 species
GGAAUAUUGGGCAAUGGAGGAAACUCUGACCCAGCGACGCCGCGUGCGGGAUGAAGGCCUUCGGGUUGUAAACCGCUUUCAGUAGGGAAGAAGCGAAAGUGACGGUACCUACAAAAGAAGCACCGGCUAACUAUGUGCCAGCAGCCGCGGUAAUACAUAGGGUGCAAGCGUUGUCCGGAAUUAUUGGGCGUAAAGAGCUCGUAGGUCGUUUGCCACGUCGGAUGUGAAAACCUGAGGCUCAACCUCAGGCCUGCAUUCGAUACGAGCAAACUAGAGUUUGGUAGGGGAGACUGGAAUUCCUGGUGUAGCGGUGGAAUGCGCAGAUAUCAGGAGGAACACCAACGGCGAAGGCAGGUCUCUGGGCCAAUACUGACACUGAGGAGCGAAAGUCUGGGGAGCGAACAGGAUUAGAUACCCUGGUAGUCCAGACCGUAAACGGUGGGCACUAGUUGUGGGAACCUUCCACGGUUUCUGCGACGCAGCUAACGCACUAAGUGCCCCGCCUGGGGAGUACGAUCGCAAGAUUAAAACUCAAAUGAAUUGACGG